rnacentral:tRNA from 1 species
GCACAAUUAGCUCAGCGGGAGAGCACCUGCUUGACGUGCAGGGGUCACAAGUUCAAUCCUUGUAUUGUGCACCA